GCCAUGCUCUCUCUCUCAUCGCCACAGCCAGACCACCGGCAUUCAUCACAACCAUCGCCAGAGAGGUUCACAGACACACAGCCAUGCAGGCUAACUCCCAGUCGCAGCAGAAUGUCCACACCACCUCUCUGGGCCGAGCCAAGACAGAGAUCAUCAGGGUCAUAGAUAUCCUCAUUGAGAAGAUGCCGACUGACGUCGUGGACCUGCUGGUCGAGGUAAUGGACAUCAUCAUGUACUGCAUCGAAGGCUCUCUGGUGAAGAAGAAAGGCCUCAAUGAGUGUUUCCCUGCUAUUUGCAAGUGAGUAAUCAUGUCCUCGUUCCCUGUCCUCGUUC